rnacentral:rRNA from 1 species
CUACGGGUGGCUCCAGUGAGGAAUAUUGCACAAUGGGGGGAACCCUGAUGCAGCAACGCCGCGUGGAGGAUGACGCAUUUCGGUGUGUAAACUCCUUUUAUAUGUCAAGAAAAUGACGGUAGCAUAUGAAUAAGCACCGGCUAACUCCGUGCCAGCAGCCGGCGGUAUACGGAGGGUGCAAGCGUUACUCGGAAUCACUGGGCGUAAAGGACGCGUAGGCGGGUUGGAAAGUCAGGUGUGAAAUCCUACAGCUUAACUGUAGAACUGCACUUGAAACUUCUAAUCUAGAGUAUGGGAGGGGGAGAUGGAAUUAGUGGUGUAGGGGUAAAAUCCGUAGAUAUCACUAGGAAUACCUAAAGCGAAGGCGAUCUCCUGGAACAUUACUGACGCUAAGGCGUGAAAGCGUGGGGAGCAAACAGGAUUAGAUACCCCGGUAGUC